UACAGAGGUCUCAAGCGUUGUUCGGAUUCAUUGGGCGUAAAGGGUGCGUAGGUGGCGGGGUAAGUCAGGUGUGAAAUCUCGAGGCUUAACUCCGAAACUGCAUUCGAUACUGCCGUGCUUGAGGACUGGAGAGGAGACUGGAAUUUACGGUGUAGCGGUGAAAUGCGUAGAUAUCGUAAGGAAGACCAGUGGCGAAGGCGGGUCUCUGGACAGUUCCUGACGCUGAGGCACGAGGGUCAGGGGAGCAAACGGG
rnacentral:rRNA from 1 species